UACGGGGGGAGCUAGCGUUGUUCGGAAUUACUGGGCGUAAAGCGCGCGUAGGCGGCUUUGUAAGUCAGAGGUGAAAUCCCGGGGCUCAACUCCGGAACUGCCUUUGAGACUGCAUCGCUUGAAUCCGGGAGAGGUGAGUGGAAUUCCGAGUGUAGAGGUGAAAUUCGUAGAUAUUGGGAAGAACACCAGUGGCGAAGGCGGCUCACUGGCCCGUAACUGACGCUGAGGUGCGAAAGCGUGGGGAGCAAACAGG
rnacentral:rRNA from 1 species